GAGGGAAUAGCUCAGUGGUAGAGUGUGUGCUUAGCAAGCACAAGGUCCUGGUCCAAUCCCCAGCACCUCCA
rnacentral:tRNA from 1 species